rnacentral:rRNA from 1 species
GACGAACGCUGGCGGCGUGCUUAACACAUGCAAGUCGAACGGAAAGGCCCUGCUUUUGUGGGGUGCUCGAGUGGCGAACGGGUGAGUAACACGUGAGUAACCUGCCCUUGACUUUGGGAUAACUUCAGGAAACUGGGGCUAAUACCGGAUAGGAGCUCCUGCUGCAUGGUGGGGGUUUGAAAGUUUCGGCGGUUGGGGCUGGACUCGCGGCUUAUCAGCUUGUUGGUGGGGUAGUGGCUUACCAAGGCUUUGACGGGUAGCCGGCCUGAGAGGGUGACCGGCCACAUUGGGACUGAGAUACGGCCCAGACUCCUACGGGAGGCAGCAGUGGGGAAUAUUGCACAAUGGGCGGAAGCCUGAUGCAGCAACGCCGCGUGCGGGAUGACGGCCUUCGGGUUGUAAACCGCUUUCGCCUGUGACGAAGCGUGAGUGACGGUAAUGGGUAAAGAAGCACCGGCUAACUACGUG